CUCGCACUGCUGUUUUCCAGCUCACCUACAGCUAGAUAUAAUUCAUCGUCUCUACUCUGGCUCCUACACCAGCCUGCACUCGUAGUUAGCUGUAUGCUUAGUAGGUAGCUACUGUUAGCUGUAUGCUAAGUAGGUGGCUAUGUUUGAUAAAAGCCAGAUGAUACAGAUACAGAUAAAAGGGAUUGCCUUUUUGAUGGGGAAUGAUUUGGCUAGUGGAAAGGUGUUGGUUAAACCUGAAGUGACACCAAUUCCUGUUAGGCAGGUUCCUGAUGAGCUUGCUCAGAAGUUUCCCAAGGUUUUUACUGCAUGUGCUGUUACUCGUUACUCGAUCUAUGUGUAAACAGGAUGAGGAGGGAAUUGAUUUGAGUGACAGUUUUCUUUUUGAUCUAGAUAAUGGUCACUCAUUUUCUCCAGUGGGGGCUGAAAGUAACGCCUCAAGGGCAGAGACCUUUCCUGAGGCUGAGCGUUUAUCCUUAUCUCGUGAACAGUUGAGUGUUGUGCAGAAAGAUGAUGUUAAUUUGUCUCCUUUAUUUGAAGAUGCAAUAGCUGGAGAGAAAGUUGAACUUCUGUCAACAGUUUUGUGAGAGAUGGUUUGCUGAUGUGUAAAGGGAUGCCUCUGCUGCAGAUGACUGUAGUGCUGUAACCCAGAUUGCUCCUGCGUCUUUAUAUCCGAUUUCAGUGGUAUGUGAGCCAUUUGAACAAGCUCUGGUUGACCAUCUGGGUCCCCUGCCUCAUACAAAAACUGGUAAUUUUUUGUUGAGUGUGAUGUGUGCGUCCACAAGAUUCCCAGAAGUAUUCCCUUUGUGUAAGAUCUCAACUCCAGACGUUGUAAAGGUUUUGACAAAGUUUGACAAAGCACAGCGUGUGAGUCUGGUGAUUGUUGUUGGAGGUGCUACUCGUCAAUUGGAAAGGGGGCCUUGGCACACGUCAAGACUUUAGAACAUUUUGAUGUUUAUGUUGGCUCAUCUAUUGUCCCUGUGGUGGUUUAUAUGGCCCAUAAUCCACUGUUUUUUUCUGCAGAGAAUGUAGAAUAAGAACAGACGAUGAAUGAGUUGGAGUUUGCGGUUGCAGGCCUUCAAUGUGGAAGUCAGACACAUCCGUGGCAGGGAUAAUGUUCUGGCUGAUGCAUUGUGGCACCUGUAAGCCAAAGUGUUCUGAACGGUGUAUUCUGAAGGGCUAUUCUUGGGUUUGUUUUGGUGGUUCUUUCUUUCAGUAUGCCCCGUUCAGUAACUUAGGGUGGGGGUGUUACAUUCUCCCCCCCCCCCUGCUGGUCAUGAUGUACAAUUCUAGAUGAUGGUGACUCAUGUGUCUGUUUUUUUCCCUCAGGUGUUUUAGGUCUGGGUGAUGACGGGAGAAACUUAUAAGAGGGGGCUGGGCGCUUGGCUCUCUCCCUCUGGUCCACCUUCCAGCCAUGGCAGCAGCACACCUCUGAGACUGCAAUUAAGUUGUAUUUCUUUGAUUAUUGUUCUUUUCUUAUAUUUCUGAUGGGACUGGUAGUUUAGUUUUCCCGGCUUUAUUUCUGUUUGUUUAGUUAAGCCUCCAAAUCCUAUGGCCUUUUGUGGGCUGGUCUGGAGGGCUUCCCUUUCUUUUGUUUGUUUUGGCCAGCCCAUCAGAUUUGUUGUUUUAUUUGAGUUAAAUGUUGUACUUAUUCCUGUUUAUUUCAAUAAACUUAUGUUUUUGCAUUACUCCUGGACUCUUUGGUUAUGUUUGA